GAUGAACGCUGGCGGCGUGCUUAACACAUGCAAGUCGAACGGAAAGGCCCAAGCUUGCUUGGGUACUCGAGUGGCGAACGGGUGAGUAACACGUGGGUGAUCUGCCCUGCACUUCGGGAUAAGCCUGGGAAACUGGGUCUAAUACCGGAUAGGACCACUUCUUGGAUGUUGUGGUGGAAAGUUUUUUCGGUGUGGGAUGAGCUCGCGGCCUAUCAGCUUGUUGGUGGGGUAAUGGCCUACCAAGGCGUCGACGGGUAGCCGGCCUGAGAGGGUGUACGGCCACAUUGGGACUGAGAUACGGCCCAGACUCCUACGGGAGGCAGCAGUGGGGAAUAUUGCACAAUGGGCGCAAGCCUGAUGCAGCGACGCCGCGUGGGGGAUGACGGCCUUCGGGUUGUAAACUCCUUUCGCUAGGGACGAAGCGUUUUGUGACGGUACCUGGGGAAGAAGCACCGGCUAACUACGU
rnacentral:rRNA from 1 species